rnacentral:rRNA from 1 species
GAUGAACGCUAGCGGCAGGCCUAACACAUGCAAGUCGAGGGGUAGAGGAAGCUUGCUUCCUUGAGACCGGCGCACGGGUGCGUAACGCGUAUGCAAUCUACCUUUUACAGAGGGAUAGCCCAGAGAAAUUGGGAUUAAUACCUCAUAGUAUCUUUGCCUGGCAUCGGGUGAUUAUUAAAGUUCCAACGGUAAAAGAUGAGCAUGCGUCCUAUUAGCUAGAUGGUAAGGUAACGGCUUACCAUGGCAACGAUAGGUAGGGGCCCUGAGAGGGAGCUCCCCCACACUGGUACUGAGACACGGACCAGACUCCUACGGGAGGCAGCAGUGAGGAAUAUUGGACAAUGGGCGCAAGCCUGAUCCAGCCAUGCCGCGUGCAGGAAGACGGUCCUAUGGAUUGUAAACUGCUUUUGUACGGGAAGAAACACUCCCUCGUGAGGGAGCUUGACGGUACCGUAAGAAUAAGGAUCGGCUAACUCCGUGCCAGCCGCCGCUGUAACAC